AGAGCGAACGCUGGCGGCAGGCUUAACACAUGCAAGUCGAGCGCCCCGCAAGGGGAGCGGCAGACGGGAGAGUAACACGUGGGAACGUACCUUUCGGUUCGGAACAACCCAGGGAAACUUGGGCUAAUACCGGAUACGCCCGCAAGGGGAAAGAUUUAUCGCCGGAAGAUCGGCCCGCGUCUGAUUAGCUAGUUGGUGAGGUAACGGCUCACCAAGGCGACGAUCAGUAGCUGGUCUGAGAGGAUGAUCAGCCUCACUGGGACUGAGACACGGCCCAGACUCCUACGGGAGGCAGCAGUGGGGAAUAGUUGGACAAGUGGGCGCAAGCCUGAUCCAGCCAUGCCGCGUGGGUGAUGAAGGCCCUAGGGUUGUAAAGCUCUUUCGCUCGGGACGAUAAUGACGGUACCGAGAUAAGAAGCCCCGGCUAACUUCGUGCCAGCAGCCGC
rnacentral:rRNA from 1 species